CGUUAGAGCAUUGAGAGGACCUUUCCUUAGUACGAGAGGCCGAGAAGGACACACCUCUAGUGUAGCAGUUAUCGUGCCCACGAUAAAUGCUGGGUAGCCAAGUGCGGAGUGGAUAACUGCUGAAAGCAUCUAAGUAGUAAGCCCAUCCCAAGAUGAGUGCUCUCUUAUUCUGAUUUCCCUAGAGCCUCCGGUAGCACAGUUGAGACGACAAGGGGUUCUCUGUCUCUGCGAGGAUCGAGUGACAGAAUUUUUGAGAAUUCAAGAGAAGGUCACGGUGAGAUGAGCCAUUUAUCAUGAUGAUAGGUGUCAAGUGGAAGUGUAGUGAUGUAUGCAGUUGAGGCAUCCUAACAGACUGG
rfam:Gossypium hirsutum cultivar TM-1 chromosome 22, whole genome shotgun sequence